rnacentral:rRNA from 1 species
AUUGAACGCUGGCGGAAUGCUUUACACAUGCAAGUCGAACGGCAGCACGGAGAGCUUGCUCUCUGGUGGCGAGUGGCGAACGGGUGAGUAAUAUAUCGGAACGUAUCCAAUAAUGGGGGAUAACGAGUCGAAAGAUUCGCUAAUACCGCAUACGCCCUACGGGGGAAAGCAGGGGAUCGUAAGACCUUGCGUUAAUGGAGCGGCCGAUAUCUGAUUAGCUUGUUGGUGAGGUAAAGGCUCACCAAGGCGACGAUCAGUAGCUGGUUUGAGAGAACGACCAGCCACACUGGAACUGAGACACGGUCCAGACUCCUACGGGAGGCAGCAGUGGGGAAUUUUGGACAAUGGGGGCAACCCUGAUCCAGCCAUUCCGCGUGAGUGAAGAAGGCCUUCGGGUUGUAAAGCUCUUUCGCAAGGGAAGAAAACUUAUGAUCGAAUAAAUCAUGAGGUUGACGGUACCUUGAUAAGAAGCACCGGCUAACUACGUGCCAGCAGCCGCGGUAAUACGUAGGGUGCGAGCGUUAAUCGGAAUUACUGGGCGUAAAGCGUGCGCAGGCGGUUUUGUAAGUCGGAUGUGAAAUCCCCGGGCUCAACCUGGGAACUGCGUUCGAAACUGCAAGGCUAGAGUGUGUCAGAGGGGGGUAGAAUUCCACGUGUAGCAGUGAAAUGCGUAGAGAUGUGGAGGAAUACCAAUGGCGAAGGCAGCCCCC